rnacentral:rRNA from 1 species
CACGUAGGGACCAAGCGUUGUCCGGAUUCAUUGGGCGUAAAGAGCUCGUAGGCGGUUCGAUAAGUCGGGUGUGAAACCUCCAGGCUCAACCUGGAGACGCCACCCGAUACUGUCGUGACUAGAGUCCAGUAGGGGAGCGUGGAAUUCCUGGUGUAGCGGUGAAAUGCGCAGAUAUCAGGAGGAACACCAGCGGCGAAGGCGCCACUCUGGGCCGUAACUGACGCUGAGGAGCGAAAGCGUGGGUAGCAAACAGG